rnacentral:rRNA from 1 species
GACGAACGCUGGCGGCGUGCCUAAUACAUGCAAGUCGAGCGAACAGAGAAGGAGCUUGCUCCUUUGACGUUAGCGGCGGACGGGUGAGUAACACGUGGGCAACCUACCCUAUAGUUUGGGAUAACUCCGGGAAACCGGGGCUAAUACCGAAUAAUCUAUUGUUCCUCAUGGGACAAUACUGAAAGACGGUUUUGGCUGUCGCUAUAGGAUGGGCCCGCGGCGCAUUAGCUAGUUGGUGAGGUAACGGCUCACCAAGGCGACGAUGCGUAGCCGACCUGAGAGGGUGAUCGGCCACACUGGGACUGAGACACGGCCCAGACACCUACGGGUGGCUG